rnacentral:rRNA from 1 species
GUCCACGCCGUAAACGGUGAGUGCUAGACGUCGCGGGUAUUGACCCCCGCGGUGUCGAAGCUAACGCGUUAAGCACUCCGCCUGGGGAGUACGGCCGCAAGGCUAAAACUCAAAGGAAUUGACGGGGGCCCGCACAAGCGGUGGAGCAUGUGGUUCAAUUCGAAGCAACGCGAAGAACCUUACCUGGGCUUGACAUGUUAGAGAACCCUCUCGAAAGAGAGGGGUGCCCGCAAGGGAGCUCUUUCACAGGUGCUGCAUGGCUGUCGU